CUGACUUCUAGCAGCUGAUUUCACGUCAGAGAAAAAUGGACUCUAAUGUUACCAUAAAGAGUGAACAUCAGACUCCACCAGUUACUCCCAUUUUUCCACCCCAGAUUCUUCAUUAUGUGUCACAAUACAGUCAAUACAUGUCAGCCCUGCCACCUAUGAAAAUACCUGGCAGAGAUACAGGCAUGUAUAGACCCCUUGUGCUGUACCAGCACCAGUGCCAUUCGUACAGAAUUGGAGCAGGUGCGACUAGCCCAGAAUAUGUUCUCUUCCUUCACAGUGGGAUGCAGAAUAAUGGUCUCGUCGCUACGGUAACCCCC